AGGAGGUGUAUGUACCCGCGAACGAUUGGCAAUCAAAUAGUUUAUUUAGAAUAUUAGCUUUGGGGGUUGAAGGUCUUUAUUGGGAAGUUGAUUGAGCGGACUGAUAGGGCUGCUUAGCAGGUUACUGUGAUAUAGUAAUGGUAAGAUUAUUUCUUCGUCAGU
rnacentral:tRNA from 1 species